GUGCUCUGUUCAGCAGCACAUAUUCUAAAAUUAGAAUGAUACAGAGAUAAUUAGCAUGACCCCCUGCAUGAGGAUGACACACCAACAUGUGAAGCAUUCUAUAUUUUU
rnacentral:snRNA from 1 species